rnacentral:tRNA from 1 species
GGUGGCUCAGUGGUAGAGCGCUUGCCUUGCACGCAUGAGACACUGGGUUCGAUUCCUCAGCACCA